UUUGGGUAUUAACUCCUUCUAAGAUAUAUGGUUUGCAAAUAUUUUCUCCUAUUUUGUAUGUAGCCUUUUCUUUGUUCAUAUUUUCCUUUGCUGUGCAAAAG